rnacentral:rRNA from 1 species
UAAGUAGGCAGCGGAAACGACACAAACCUGGAUUCCUCAAUUAGUUGCGAAUGAAAGAGAGAGGAUUUCAGCUUGACAUCCAAGGGCACUACCUUUGACAUGAAGAUUUGAUCGUGUGCCAAAGGGAGGGAGGUGGAGUGGAUACUGUCUUGGGAGAGGGGUGUGCAAGUGGCAACGAGGGUAACAAGCCUUUGACGCUUGAUGUGUCUUCCUGCACGGCACCUUCUCUAGACUCAUGCUCUUUGAAAGUGGAGUGCAAAGUGGGUGGUAAAUCUCACUCAAAGCCAGAUACAACACUGGGGCCGACAGCAUACAAAAUCCGUGAGGGAAGUGUGAAAAAGGACUUUGGAAAGAUAAUUAGAGGAGCCUGAAUGUGCUGAACAGCAAGCAUACAGGGUGGGGGACUUUGGAGAGAUUUCGCUGCGCGACCAAGCAAGUGGUUACCGUAUGUGCAAAGGUUCUGUGGUGUGCAUUGGCAUGACGUGUGUGUGUCUCUUCUUGGAUGUCAAUCAAAGACAGCUGCAGUCAAUGGCAACUGGUGAUGAAGGGUCACUUUGUGCCAGCGGCUGUCACUGCCCAGAUUGUGCACGUGCCUGGGACACGGUGGGGGGUGGUACCAUGGCUGACAUGGUGCUCUAAAAAGGUGGGUGUGGGGCGUGUUUGUUGUGCCUCAUUAUGUGUGAAGGUAGGUUCUGCCUGGCAGCACAUCUGCUGUCACCCUCUGCCUGUGUGACCCGUCUUGAAACACGGACCAAGGAGCCUAACAACCCUGCAAGGUGUGUUUUUGUGUCGUGUACAACUGUGUGCCAAUGAAAGUGGAGUCCCAGACCUCGCCAGAUGAGGGGUGAACCUAUUGACUGGUUAAGGCACUGGACUUCUUGCUCAUCAGAGAUCAUAGAGGGUGUUGGCUCAUUCAGACAGCAGGACGGUGGUCAUGGAAGUCGAAACCCGCUCGGGAGUGU